rnacentral:rRNA from 1 species
GUGUUAGGGGGUUUCCGCCCCUUAGUGCUGCAGCUAACGCAUUAAGCACUCCGCCUGGGGAGUACGGUCGCAAGACUGAAACUCAAAGGAAUUGACGGGGGCCCGCACAAGCGGUGGAGCAUGUGGUUUAAUUCGAAGCAACGCGAAGAACCUUACCAGGUCUUGACAUCCUCUGACAACCCUAGAGAUAGGGCUUUCCCUUCGGGGACAGAGUGACAGGUGGUGCAUGGUUGUCGUCAGCUCGUGUCGUGAGAUGUUGGGUUAAGUCCCGCAACGAGCGCAACCCUUGAUCUUAGUUGCCAGCAUUUAGUUGGGCACUCUAAGGUGACUGCCGGUGACAAACCGGAGGAAGGUGGGGAUGACGUCAAAUCAUCAUGCCCCUUAUGACCUGGGCUACACACGUGCUACAAUGGAC